GAGGCAUAGAAAGACUUCCUGUCAUAACAGCUGCUGUGUUGUCUUCACAGCCUUUGGGGUAUGAAAUCACUUUCCUCAGCAACAGAUACAGCUUGCCAGCAGUGGAAAUGCAGAAUGCUUAUUUUAAUGUGGGACUAUAUUCCCACCACCAUAAAUCUAUUAAAUAUUAUGGUACCUCUACUGAUUGAUUCUACAAGAUCCUGAAGUUUCCUGUUGUCUUCCCAAAAGACCUUGACCUGC